UAAAUUUUGGUAACGUAGAAGCAGCGAUUUUAAUUACCUCGCCAGUUCUAGGGUUACGACCUUCGCCUGCUUUUCUGUUAGAAGUACUAAAAGUACCAAAGCCAACUAGACGAAUUUCUUCUUUAGCAGCUAAUGCAUUUUCAAUAGA
rnacentral:snoRNA from 1 species